UGUCCAAUAGAUGGCAUAGGCGUCGUCGUUUUCAUGUGAUGGCGGAUUGUUGUGUUGAGUGGUUGUCAAAAGUUUUCCUAUUUUUCCAUGAAAUUACCGAUGAAUUCAUAAGAAGGAACGGGAAAGGAAACAGUGCAUACAAGUAGCCUACCAUCACUAUACCACCAACUCUUUUAUUAAAAAUCGUCGUUCUGCUGAAUGCAUCAUGCAGUUAAUACAGUUUCUAUUGAUCUGUGUAGGUCACUACCCCAGUGUGGACAUGUUUGUUUUUCUGAACAUGUUUUUCAACAAAUAAUUCAUUGACGUGCAAGGAAAGCUUAAAGCUUAUUCAUGGGUAAUCUUCAGGUUAGCAGCAGCAGCUUAAGAGAAGAAUGUGAACAAAUGCAGGGCACAUACCAGCAUGUGCUGUAUUUUUCUGAAUGUUGAGCACGAGCAAUAGAUUCAACAUGACUAACUGUUUGAUGCCAAAGUUAGUUGGAACUCAACUCACUGUAUGUACUCUAACACAGAUAACUGGUGCUGUUGCCUUACAGCCACAGGCAGGAAAAUCAUUCUUUUUUUUUUCAGAAAAUUGGAAAGCUGCUGGAGUAAUCUGGUGUUGAUGCUCAUUUGAUGCAUUUCGUGCCACCUAGUGAAAGCCGAAAGGCAUGUCGAAUUCAAGUUGAGCUGCUGCGGGCUGUCUCUGGAAGCAAGCAAGAAGCAAUCCAGCCGUUGCGUUCAGUCAUUUGAACAGAAAUCUAAGGGCUGUCAAUAGGUGGCUGUCAAAAGUUGGCCGGAAUGUCCACCAGGUAGCGCCAGUGUCUUCAGGGACGCAUUUCGGCCAUUUUGUUCCAAGACGCAGCAGAAAUGGGCUGCUGGUCGUGACGUUUCUCACGAUGAAAAUUAAAAGGUGAUUUAGCAUGUGGAAACCACUUUGCUAAGUCAUUCAACUCAGACUUGGAAGUGCCUGUACAUUGCCGAAAUGGCGUGCCUCGUGUGUCUCGCUGCCUGUUCUUAGGCGUACGUCUCAUCCCAUGCAACAGAAAAAAGUAUAACAAAUACUUCUUUAACGCUGUGGGUUUUCUUGUUGCUGCCAAAUGGUGAAAGGAAGAAGAGUACGAAGACGGAUUGAACCAUUGUAUGCAGCAUGCAGUUGCAGUGUAAUCCAGAAGAAGCUGUGGUGGUGUUAUCCUGAAAUUGCUGUGCUGUUGUAGCUGAGCUGUUCCAUCUGGGUUCCUGACUUGAAAAUUUUUGUGUUGUUGUUUGCCUGCCAGUAUUUUGUGUUGUGACUUCAAAUAGUUUGAUCUGUCGUCUU
rnacentral:lncRNA from 1 species